UGGAUUAAAGUUUGGAUACUGAAGUCCUCCAGGUGUUCCCAGAAUGGGCAUGCCACAUGGGCAAAGCAGUGUGAACUUUUUCCUCAUACACUACCAUCACCAUGUGCCUCAACCCUGCCCUGAAGGGACAGUGCCUCUUAAUAAAUACAGCAUGUAGCAAUUACAGCACUUUGAAUCUCCAAAAUGCUUUA
rnacentral:sRNA from 1 species